CGCUGGAAUAUUCUUGGCUUCAAUUUUACUAAAAGAGAUGCGCUAUCUAGUCUAUAUAAGAUAUUUAUGAAUCGAACCCGCUGGCAGAGCAUUGGACUAGCAUCGGGGGUUUCGAUUCCACCGUGAUCAGGCAAAUGUUUCAGCUUGCCCGGUGUGGAUGCACACUCAGAGUAACAUCACAAACAUCAAUGUGCAUUAACUUUGCAAUAUUGGCUGGAACGGUCUCAAGGGUUUUUUCCGAGAUUGUAGUACUGUCAGGCGAACUGUACAAGAAGCUUUAUGAUUAUUCCAUAUUAAUAUCCGAUCCAAGACAGCUAAUUUUCCAUUUUUCUUUUAAAUAUAGAUUGGAAAAACUACAUGAUCAUUAUGCUCCUGUCUGAUUGCAAGUCUGAACCUGUCUG